ACACUGUCUGACUGACCUGACCCAGGAGACGCUCGCAUAUUGAUGCAUUUGCUGGAGGACAUGUGCUGGAUUCCUGACGUGUGGAGAAUUACUGAGAGCUUCAGCUGCUGCUCUUCACUGGCUUCAUUCGCUAGAUCUACAAGCAUCAGAUCCGAGCAGAUUCACAGCUUCAGGUGCGUAAAACACCAGCGCAUAACCCAAUCAUGGACAACUCAGAUUCUGUUCAAUAAAAUUAAAUUGAAAUUCUGAAUGCAAAACAUACACUUCCAGACUAAACAGAGAUGCUAACUCCUCACCUUUCAGUCACAGCUCACUAUUUUGAGAUAAAAAUUUUGAGAGUCACUUGUUAGAUUUUGAGAAAGUGUUUUUAUUGGUUGUGUGUGUUAGAGAGAGAGAGAGAGAGAGAGUGUGAAAGAGUAUGUGUGUGUGUGUGUAUGUGUGUGCGAAAGUGUGUGUGAGAUAGUAUGUCUGUGUGUGUGUGUGUGUGUGUGUGUGUGUGAGAGAGAGAGUGUGUGUGUGAGAGAGAGAGAGAGAGAGAGAAGAAGAGAGAGAGAGUGUGAGUUCUUACAAUGGAGGCUUUUAUUACAUCAGACCUGAUGUUUCCCAGCAGCCCAGAAAAAUCCUGUUGCACCAUGAUUUCAGUGAACUGCCCUGAACCAGCCGGUCAGAUUAGAGAAACUUGUGUGAGUGUGUGUGUGAGUGUGUGUGUGUGUGAGUGUGUGUGUGCAGCCCCGGCGGCGCUGAUGCAGGCGCUGGAGGAUCUGGAUUAUCUGGCGGCUCUGGCUGACGAUGGGAAUCUGUCAGAGAUAACGAAGACGAGGUCUGGUGCAAGACAAACUUCCUCAAUACCUCUGCUUUACGAUUGGCUGUGGUGA
ensembl:lncRNA